rnacentral:rRNA from 1 species
AGUGAACGCUGGCGGUAGGCCUAACACAUGCAAGUCGAACGGCAGCACAGUAAGAGCUUGCUCUUACGGGUGGCGAGUGGCGGACGGGUGAGGAAUACAUCGGAAUCUACUUUUUCGUGGGGGAUAACGUAGGGAAACUUACGCUAAUACCGCAUACGACCUACGGGUGAAAGCAGGGGAUCUUCGGACCUUGCGCGAUUGAAUGAGCCGAUGUCGGAUUAGUUAGUUGGCGGGGUAAAGGCCCACCAAGGCGACGGUCCGUAGCUGGUCUGAGAGGAUGAUCAGCCACACUGGAACUGAGACACGGUCCAGACUCCUACGGGAGGCAGCAGUGGGGAAUAUUGGACAAUGGGCGCAAGCCUGAUCCAGCCAUACCGCGUGGGUGAAGAAGGCCUUCGGGUUGUAAAGCCCUUUUGUUGGGAAAGAAAAGCAGCAGGUUAAUACCCCGCUGUUCUGACGGUACCCAAAGAAUAAGCACCGGCUAACUUCGUG